rnacentral:rRNA from 1 species
UGGGGAAUAUUGGGCAAUGGGCGCAAGCCUGACCCAGCAACGCCGCGUGAAGGAAGAAGGCCCUCGGGUUGUAAACUUCUUUUAUCAAGGACGAAACAAAUGACGGUACUUGAUGAAUAAGCCACGGCUAACUACGUGCCAGCAGCCGCGGUAAUACGUAGGUGGCAAGCGUUAUCCGGAUUUACUGGGUGUAAAGGGCGUGUAGGCGGGACUGCAAGUCAGAUGUGAAAACCAUGGGCUCAACCCAUGGCCUGCAUUUGAAACUGUAGUUCUUGAGUGUUGGAGAGGCAGGCGGAAUUCCGUGUGUAGCGGUGAAAUGCGUAGAUAUUAGGAGGAACACCAGUGGCGAAGGCGGCUUACUGGACGGUAACUGACGUUGAGGCUCGAAAGCGUGGGGAGCAAACAGGAUUAGAUACCC